UGGGGAAUUUUGGACAAUGGGCGAAAGCCUGAUCCAGCAAUGCCGCGUGUGUGAAGAAGGCCUUCGGGUUGUAAAGCACUUUUGUCCGGAAAGAAAUCCUUGGCUCUAAUACAGUCGGGGGAUGACGGUACCGGAAGAAUAAGCACCGGCUAACUACGUGCCAGCAGCCGCGAUAAUACGUAGGGUGCAAGCGUUAAUCGGAAUUACUGGGCGUAAAGCGUGCGCAGGCGGUUUGCUAAGACCGAUGUGAAAUCCCCGGGCUCAACCUGGGAACUGCAUUGGUGACUGGCAGGCUAGAGUAUGGCAGAGGGGGGUAGAAUUCCACGUGUAGCAGUGAAAUGCGUAGAGAUGUGGAGGAAUACCGAUGGCGAAGGCAGCCCCCUGGGCCAAUACUGACGCUCAUGCACGAAAGCGUGGGGAGCAAACAGGAUUAGAUACCCUGGUAGUCCACGCCCUAAAACGAUGUCAACUAGUUGUUGGGGAUUCAUUUCCUUAGUAACGUAGCUAACGCGUGAAGUUGACCGCCUGGGGAGUACGGUCGCAAGAUUAAAACUCAAAUGAAUUGAC
rnacentral:rRNA from 1 species